rnacentral:rRNA from 1 species
GACGAACGCUGGCGGCGUGCUUAACACAUGCAAGUCGAACGGAAAGGCCCUGCUUUUGUGGGGUGCUCGAGUGGCGAACGGGUGAGUAACACGUGAGUAACCUGCCCUUGACUUUGGGAUAACUUCAGGAAACUGGGGCUAAUACCGGAUAGGAGCUCCCGCUGCAUGGUGGGGGUUGGAAAGUUUCGGCGGUUGGGGAUGGACUCGCGGCUUAUCAGCUUGUUGGUGGGGUAGUGGCUUACCAAGGCUUUGACGGGUAGCCGGCCUGGGAGGGUGAACGGCCACAUUGGGACUGAGAUACGGACCAGACGCGUACGGUAGGCAACGGUGGGGAGUAUUGCACAGUGGGCGGGAGCCUGAUGCGACAACGCCGCGUGCGGGAUGACGGCCUUCGGGUUGUGAACCGCUUUCGCCUGAGACGAAGCGUGAGUGACGGUAAUGGGUAAAGAAGCACCGGCUAACUACGUG